rnacentral:rRNA from 1 species
AUUGAACGCUGGCGGCAGGCCUAACACAUGCAAGUCGAGCGGAUGAAGGGAGCUUGCUCCUGGAUUCAGCGGCGGACGGGUGAGUAAUGCCUAGGAAUCUGCCUGGUAGUGGGGGAUAACGUCCGGAAACGGGCGCUAAUACCGCAUACGUCCUGAGGGAGAAAGUGGGGGAUCUUCGGACCUCACGCUAUCAGAUGAGCCUAGGUCGGAUUAGCUAGUUGGUGGGGUAAAGGCCUACCAAGGCGACGAUCCGUAACUGGUCUGAGAGGAUGAUCAGUCACACUGGAACUGAGACACGGUCCAGACUCCUACGGGAGGCAGCAGUGGGGAAUAUUGGACAAUGGGCGAAAGCCUGAUCCAGCCAUGCCGCGUGUGUGAAGAAGGUCUUCGGAUCGUAAAGCACUUUAAGUUGGGAGGAAGGGCAGUAAGUCAAUACCUUGCUGUUUUGACGUUACCAACAGAAUAAGCACCGGCUAACUUCGUG